rnacentral:rRNA from 1 species
AACGAACGCUGGCGGCAGGCCUAACACAUGCAAGUCGAACGCCCCGCAAGGGGAGUGGCAGACGGGUGAGUAACACGUGGGAACCUUCCCAACAGUACGGAAUAGCCCAGGGAAACUUGGAGUAAUACCGUAUAUUCCCGAGAGGGGAAAGAUUUAUCGCUGUUGGAUGGGCCCGCGUCGGAUUAGCUCGUUGGUGAGGUAACGGCUCACCAAGGCGACGAUCCGUAGCUGGUUUGAGAGGAUGACCAGCCACACUGGGACUGAGACACGGCCCAGACUCCUGCGGGAGGCAGCAGUGGGGAAACUUGAACAAUGGGCGCAAGCCUGAGCCAGCCAUGCCGCGUGAGUGACGAAGGCCUUAGGGUUGUAAAGCUCUUUUGCCGGGGACGAUAAUGACGGUACCGGAGAAUAAGUCCCGGCUAACUUCGUGCCAGCCGCCGCAGUAAGAC